GAUCCUGGCUCAGAUUGAACGCUGGCGGCAGGCCUAACACAUGCAAGUCGAGCGGCAGCGGGAAAGUAGCUUGCUACUUUUGCCGGCGAGCGGCGGACGGGUGAGUAAUGCCUGGGAAAUUGCCCAGUCGAGGGGGAUAACAGUUGGAAACGACUGCUAAUACCGCAUACGCCCUACGGGGAAAGCAGGGACCUUCGGCCGUUGCGCGAUUGGAUAUGCCCAGGUGGGAUUAGCUUGUUGGUGAGGUAA
rnacentral:rRNA from 1 species